GACGAACGCUGGCGGCGUGCUUAACACAUGCAAGUCGAACGGAGCACCCCUGAAGGAGUUUUCGGACAACGGAAGGGAAUGCUUAGUGGCGGACUGGUGAGUAACGCGUGAGGAACCUGCCUUUCAGAGGGGGACAACAGUUGGAAACGACUGCUAAUACCGCAUGACGCAUCGAAGUCGCAUGGCUUUGAUGUCAAAGAUUUAUCGCUGAAAGAUGGCCUCGCGUCUGAUUAGCUAGUUGGUGAGGUAACGGCCCACCAAGGCGACGAUCAGUAGCCGGACUGAGAGGUUGGCCGGCCACAUUGGGACUGAGAUACGGCCCAG
rnacentral:rRNA from 1 species